UACAGAGGUCUCGAGCGUUGUUCGGAUUCAUUGGGCGUAAAGGGUGCGUAGGCGGCGGGGUAAGUCUGAUGUGAAAUCCCGGGGCUCAACCCUGGAACUGCAUUGGAUACUGCCUUGCUAGAGAGCUGGAGAGGAAACUGGAAUUUACGGUGUAGCAGUGAAAUGCGUAGAGAUCGUAAGGAAGACCAGUGGCGAAGGCGGCCUGCUGGGCAGUAGCUGACGCUGAGGCGCGACAGCGUGGGGAGCAAACAGG
rnacentral:rRNA from 1 species